GAUGAAGAACGCAGCGAAAUGCGAUAAGUAGUGUGAAUUGCAGAAUUCAGUGAAUCAUCGAAUCUUUGAACGCACAUUGCGCCCCUUGGUAUUCCAUGGGGCAUGCCUGUUCGAGCGUCAUUUGUACCUUCAAGCUUUGCUUGGUGUUGGGUGUUUGUCCUGAGGGACUCGCCUUAAAGUGAUUGGCAGCCAGUGUUUGGUUUUGAAGCGCAGCACAAGUCGCGAUUCAAAGCUAUACGCCCGCUUCCACAAGCCUUUUUCACUUUUGACCUCGGAUCAGGUAGGGAUACCCGCUGAACUUAAGCAUAUCAAUAAGCGGAGGA
rnacentral:misc_RNA from 1 species